rnacentral:rRNA from 1 species
UGAACGCUAGCGGCAGGCUUAGCACAUGCAAGUCGAGGGGCAGCGCGUUGUAGCAAUACAGAUGGCGGCGACCGGCGCAAGGGUGCGUAACGCGUGAGCAACAUACCCGUCACAGGGGGGAUAAGCGAUGGAAACGUCGUCUAAUACCGCAUGGAACUUAGGGCGGCAUCGUCCGGAGUUGAAACUUACGAGGGUGACGGAUUGGCUCGCGAGACAUUAGGUAGACGGCGGGGUAACGGCCCACCGUGCCGACGAUGUCUAGGGGUUCUGAGAGGAAGGUCCCCCACACUGGAACUGAGACACGGUCCAGACUCCUACGGGAGGCAGCAGUGAGGAAUAUUGGACAAUGGUCGGAAGACUGAUCCAGCCAUGCCGCGUGAAAAGGGAAGACGGUCCUAUGGAUUGUAAACUUCUUUUGUACGGGAGCAAUAAGGUAUACGCGUAUACCGAUGAGAGUACCGUACGAAUAAGCAUCGGCUAACUCCGUGCCAGCAGCUGC